rnacentral:rRNA from 1 species
UACGGAGGGCGCAAGCGUUGUUCGGAAUUACUGGGCGUAAAGCGCGUGUAGGCGGUCUAGCAAGUCGGUUGUGAAAUCCCCGGGCUCAACCCGGGAACUGCAUCCGAAACUGCUGGGCUAGAGUUUCGGAGAGGAAGGCAGAAUUCCCAAUGUAGGGGUGAAAUCCGUAGAUAUCGGGAGGAAUACCAGUGGCGAAGGCGGCCUUCUGGACGAUGACUGACGCUGAGACGCGAAAGCGUGGGGAGCAAACAGG